GAUACUGGAGGAAAAUUUUCCGUCGGGCAGAGAUAGGAAUGAAAAUCAGAGAACGUCACGCGAUCAACGCGAAAGUCGGGGUUCAAAUGUGGUGAUCCGAGAUCAUCCGCGUGGAAGAAACAUAUUUGUUGUGAGGUUAAAAAAAAAUAAAAAAAAAAUCAGAAAGUUUUGGGGUUCAAGAAAAGAAAAAAGUAAAAUAAUAAUCCCCAGCGGAGCGCAAAUUGUUC
rnacentral:lncRNA from 1 species